rnacentral:rRNA from 1 species
UACAGAGGUCUCAAGCGUUGUUCGGAUUCAUUGGGCGUAAAGGGCGCGUAGGCUGCGGGGCAAGUCGGGUGUGAAAUCUCAGAGCUCAACUCUGAAACUGCACUCGAUACUGCUUUGCUCGAGGACUGGAGAGGAGAUUGGAAUUCACGGUGUAGCAGUGAAAUGCGUAGAUAUCGUGAGGAAGACCAGUGACGAAGGCGGAUCUCUGGACAGUUCCUGACGCUGAGGCGCGAAGGCCAGGGGAGCAAACGGG